UGAGUCGCGUGGCUCGAACCCUUCUCAU
rnacentral:sRNA from 1 species